CGCACGGCAGGGCGAGCGGCAUCGACGCCGUCGCCACCGGCGCGACCGCCCCCCUGCUGUUCCGCUCCGGCACCGUGCGG
rnacentral:tRNA from 1 species